UACGAAGGGGGCUAGCGUUGCUCGGAAUUACUGGGCGUAAAGCGCACGUAGGCGGUCUUUUAAGUCGGGGUGGAAAUCCUGGAGCUCAACUCCAGAACUGCCUUCGAUACUGGAAGACUUGAGUCCGGGAGAGGUGAGUGGAACUGCGAGUGUAGAGGUGAAAUUCGUAGAUAUUCGCAAGAACACCAGUGGCGAAGGCGGCUCACUGGCCCGGUACUGACGCUGAGGUGCGAAAGCGUGGGGAGCAAACAGGG
rnacentral:rRNA from 1 species